rnacentral:rRNA from 1 species
ACUUAUAUUCUGUAGCAAGGUUAACCGUAUAGGGGAGCCGAAGGGAAACCGAGUCUUAACCGGGCGUUAAGUUGCAGGGUAUAGACCCGAAACCCGGUGAUCUAGCCAUGGGCAGGUUGAAGGUUGGGUAACACUAACUGGAGGACCGAACCGACUAAUGUUGAAAAAUUAGCGGAUGACCUGUGGCUGGGGGUGAAAGGCCAAUCAAACCGGGAGAUAGCUGGUUCUCCCCGAAAGCUAUUUAGGUAGCGCCUCGUGAAUUCAUCUCCGGGGGUAGAGCACUGUUUCGGCUAGGGGGCCAUCCCGGCUUACCAACCCGAUGCAAACUGCGAAUACCGGAGAAUGUUAUCACGGGAGACACACGGCGGGUGCUAACGUCCGUCGUGAAGAGGGAAACAACCCAGACCGCCAGCUAAGGUCCCAAAGUCAUGGUUAAGUGGGAAACGAUGUGGGAAGGCCCAGACAGCCAGGAUGUUGGCUUAGAAGCAGCCAUCAUUUAAAGAAAGCGUAAUAGCUCACUGGUCGAGUCGGCCUGCGCGGAAGAUGUAACGGGGCUAAACCAUGCACCGAAGCUGCGGCAGCGAACGUAUCACUUAAAGCGAUUCAGCGGGUUACGAUUGACGGAGCGAAGCGACGUCAAAGCGUAUACAAAGUCGAGUCGGUUUAAGGAUACGUUCGUUGGGUAGGGGAGCGUUCUGUAAGCCUGUGAAGGUGUGUCGUGAGGCAUGCUGGAGGUAUCAGAAGUGCGAAUGCUGACAUAAGUAACGAUAAAGCGGGUGAAAAGCCCGCUCGCCGGAAGACCAAGGGUUCCUGUCCAACGUUAAUCGGGGCAGGGUGAGUCGACCCCUAAGGCGAGGCCGAAAGGCGUAGUCGAUGGGAAACGGGUUAAUAUUCCCGUACUUGGUGUUACUGCGAAGGGGGGACGGAGAAGGCUAUGUUGGCCGGGCGACGGUUGUCCCGGUUUAAGCGUGUAGGUGUGUGUUCCAGGUAAAUCCGGUUCACUUUAACACUGAGGCGUGACGACGAGGCACUACGGUGCUGAAGCAACAAAUGCCCUGCUUCCAGGAAAAGCCUCUAAGCAUCAGGUAACAUCAAAUCGUACCCCAAACCGACACAGGUGGUCAGGUAGAGAAUACCAAGGCGCUUGAGAGAACUCGGGUGAAGGAACUAGGCAAAAUGGUGCCGUAACUUCGGGAGAAGGCACGCUGACACGUAGGUGAAGUGAUUUACUCAUGGAGCUGAAGUCAGUCGAAGAUACCAGCUGGCUGCAACUGUUUAUUAAAAACACAGCACUGUGCAAACACGAAAGUGGACGUAUACGGUGUGACGCCUGCCCGGUGCCGGAAGGUUAAUUGAUGGGGUCAGCGCAAGCGAAGCUCCUGAUCGAAGCCCCGGUAAACGGCGGCCGUAACUAUAACGGUCCUAAGGUAGCGAAAUUCCUUGUCGGGUAAGUUCCGACCUGCACGAAUGGCGUAAUGAUGGCCAGGCUGUCUCCACCCGAGACUCAGUGAAAUUGAACUCGCUGUGAAGAUGCAGUGUACCCGCGGCAAGACGGAAAGACCCCGUGAACCUUUACUAUAGCUUGACACUGAACAUUGAGCCUUGAUGUGUAGGAUAGGUGGGAGGCUUUGAAGUGUGGACGCCAGUCUGCAUGGAGCCGACCUUGAAAUACCACCCUUUAAUGUUUGAUGUUCUAACGUGGACCCGUGAUCCGGGUUGCGGACAGUGUCUGGUGGGUAGUUUGACUGGGGCGGUCUCCUCCUAAAGAGUAACGGAGGAGCACGAAGGUUGGCUAAUCCUGGUCGGACAUCAGGAGGUUAGUGCAAUGGCAUAAGCCAGCUUGACUGCGAGCGUGACGGCGCGAGCAGGUGCGAAAGCAGGUCAUAGUGAUCCGGUGGUUCUGAAUGGAAGGGCCAUCGCUCAACGGAUAAAAGGUACUCCGGGGAUAACAGGCUGAUACCGCCCAAGAGUUCAUAUCGACGGCGGUGUUUGGCACCUCGAUGUCGGCUCAUCACAUCCUGGGGCUGAAGUAGGUCCCAAGGGUAUGGCUGUUCGCCAUUUAAAGUGGUACGCGAGCUGGGUUUAGAACGUCGUGAGACAGUUCGGUCCCUAUCUGCCGUGGGCGCUGGAGAACUGAGGGGGGCUGCUCCUAGUACGAGAGGACCGGAGUGGACGCAUCACUGGUGUUCGGGUUGUCAUGCCAAUGGCACUGCCCGGUAGCUAAAUGCGGAAGAGAUAAGUGCUGAAAGCAUCUAAGCACGAAACUUGCCCCGAGAUGAGUUCUCCCUGAGACUUAGAGUCUCCUGAAGGAACGUUGAAGACGACGACGUUGAUAGGCCGGGUGUGUAAGCGCAGCGAUGCGUUGAGCUAACCGGUACUAAUGAACCGUGAGGCUUAACCUUACAACGCCGAAG